rnacentral:rRNA from 1 species
AUUGAACGCUGGCGGCAUGCUUUACACAUGCAAGUCGAACGGCAGCGCGGGCUUCGGCCUGGCGGCGAGUGGCGAACGGGUGAGUAAUGCAUCGGAACGUGCCCAGUAGUGGGGGAUAGCCCGGCGAAAGCCGGAUUAAUACCGCAUACGACCUGAGGGUGAAAGCGGGGGACCGAAAGGCCUCGCGCUAUUGGAGCGGCCGAUGUCGGAUUAGCUAGUUGGUGGGGUAAAGGGUUACCAAGGCGACGAUCCGUAGCUGGUCUGAGAGGACGACCAGCCACACUGGGACUGAGACACGGCCCAGACUCCUACGGGAGGCCGCAGUGGGGAAUUUUGGACAAUGGGGGCAACCCUGAUCCAGCCAUGCCGCGUGCGGGAAGAAGGCCUUCGGGUUGUAAACCGCUUUUGUUCGGGAAGAAAUCCUCUGGGCUAAUACCCCGGGGGGAUGACGGUACCGGAAGAAUAAGCACCGGCUAACUACGUG